AUUAUACUCCUUCUGUCCCAAAAUACUUGUCAUCAAAAUGGAUCAAAAAAGAUGUAUCUAAAACUAAAAUAUGUCUAGAUACAUCCCCUUUUGUCCAUUUUGAUGACAAGUAUUUCCGGACGGAGGGAGUAGAUA
rfam:Triticum aestivum genome assembly, contig: Triticum_aestivum_CS42_TGACv1_scaffold_034107_1BL